rnacentral:rRNA from 1 species
CCUACGGGAGGCAGCAGUGGGGAAUAUUGCACAAUGGGCGAAAGCCUGAUGCAGCAACGCCGCGUGAGCGAUGAAGGCCUUCGGGUCGUAAAGCUCUGUCCUCAAGGAAGAUAAUGACGGUACUUGAGGAGGAAGCCCCGGCUAACUACGUGCCAGCAGCCGCGGUAAUACGUAGGGGGCUAGCGUUAUCCGGAAUUACUGGGCGUAAAGGGUGCGUAGGUGGUUUCUUAAGUCAGAGGUGAAAGGCUACGGCUCAACCGUAGUAAGCCUUUGAAACUGAGAAACUUGAGUGCAGGAGAGGAGAGUAGAAUUCCUAGUGUAGCGGUGAAAUGCGUAGAUAUUAGGAGGAAUACCAGUUGCGAAGGCGGCUCUCUGGACUGUAACUGACACUGAGGCACGAAAGCGUGGGGAGCAAACAGGAUUAGAUACCCUAGUAGUC